UGUCUCGUUUACAUUGUAUCAAGCCAAUAGUGUCGUGCAAUUAUUACGUUAUGUCUUACCAAUUCACCUCACGUGAAUACGUGCUAAUGAUACGUGCUAUAUUCUUGGCCGGAGAAAAUGUUAAUGCAGCUUUGCGACUGUACCGGGAGCUGUACCCAGAUGCCCGACAGCCACACUUCAGCACGAUGCAGGGUGCUUAUCAAAGGCUGCUAGACUAUGGCUCGUUUUAUACGCCAUCGCAUGCUCAAGGCCGUGGGAGGCCUGGUUACUCUGAAGAGCUUCACGAAGCAGUUUUGGCGUAUUUCGAAGAGGAACCACGACGAAGCACGAAUGACGCUGCACGCCACUUCGGAAUUAGUCAGUAUUGUGCCUGGAAGAUUGUGAACUCGGCCGGAAUGCAUCCAUACCACUACCGGAAAGUACAAGAACUUACAAGAGUGGACCGACAGCCUCGUAUGACUUUUUGUCAAUGGGUAUUAGACCACCAGGGUGCCAACGUUCUUUUUACCGAUGAAUGUUUAUUUACAAGGAUUGGCCUGUUCAACCAACACAACGAACACUGGUGGUCAUACCGUAACCCCAAAUUGACCCGGCAACAGUCUUACCAGCAUCGGUUCAGUGUCAAUGUCUGGGCUGGCGUACUAAACGGCCACAUUGUGGGACCGUAUUUUAUUGAGGGGCGCCUAACAGGGCAAACCUAUUUAGAUUUAGUGCGCACUAUGGUGACCAGCAUACUGGACGACAUUCCGCUGGCUAACCUGCGGGAGUUGUGGUUUCAGCAGGACGGUGCUCCGCCUCACUACCACAGCGCGGUGCGCGAGUACCUGACGCAGGAGUUCGGGAGCCAGUGGAUCGGCCGCGGCGGCCCCGUCGCCUGGCCCCCGCGCUCACCCGACCUAACUCCGAUGGACUUUUUCAUGUGGAGUGAAGUAAAGAGACGUGUUUAUGUGAGUGAACCAAACACUCGUGAAAUGUUGAAACAAAAAAUAAUAGACGAUCAAAACCAUCUUUAUUAUUCAUGCCCUAACAUUUAUUGCCACGAACUUAAUUAAAAUACAUUUUUUUGUAUUCAGGCUACCUAGAACCGAAAACAGAAAACUAGUUUGGCUGGAAGCUAUUGGAAAAGAAAACAUAAAAACGAAUACUAAAGAUGUUAACAUUUUUUGUUCUUUACAUUUUGAUGAAAGUUCAUUUAAUAGAACACUCGAUAUUUGAAGACUGAAGGAUGAUGCAGUGCCAUCUCUUAUUUUGAAACAUCAUUCUUCAGACGAUCCGCAACCUUCAACGUCAAAUAAUGCUGAUUAUCCUGUGUGCAGCCAACAAAAUACUGGUUUAGUAAGUUAUAUGUAUUUGCGUUUUAAUAUUAAGAAGUUUAAAAUUGCUUUGUUUGUAAAAAAAAUAAGCCCAUAGAUGAUAAUGAUGUGGUUUACCUUACAUAACUAAUACAUGUCUGUCACAUGCUAGGCCAGAAAAUUUAAAUAUCAUAACAUUUACAUUAUUGUUACAGAAUGAAGCACUCAGGAAGUUCAUCAAAAAUUUAAAUAUUAUCAUAACAUUUACAUUAUUAUUAUUGUUACAGAAUAAAGCACUCAAAGAAAUUCAUCACUUGCGGGACCCAAAGAUUUCCUUUUGAGACAAAUAUCUAAUUGCAAAGGCUUGCCUACAGAGAGAUGUUACAGUGAGGAAAUUAGAAAAUUCGCUUUAACGUUACAUUUUUUAUCACCAAGAGCUUACGAUUUUGUGCGCUCUCAAUAUGAUUCGUGUUUACCGCAUCCACGAACAUUGUGUAAAUGGUACCAGAAUGUGGAUGCAGAACCUAGAUUUUGCAAAGAAGCAUUCGAUGCCCUGAAAGCCAAAGUAGAGUGUAGUGAAAUCCCAUUGGUGUGUGCUUUGAUAUUAGACGAAAUGUCCAUAAGGAAAUCACUAUGUUGGGAUUCUAAAUCCCAGAAAUACCAUGGCCGUGUAAAUAUUGGCAUUGAAAAUGAAAGCGAUUCCUUGGAAGUAGCAAACCAGUCUCUUGUUUUUUUAGUUAAUUGUAUAAACGGAAAAUGGAAAUUGCCAGUAGCCUAUUUCUUGAUAACUAGUUUAAGCGGGGAACAAAAAGCUUCUCUUGUACAAACAUGCUUGCAAAAAUGUAAAGACGCUGGCGUCAAAAUCGUCAGUGUCACAUGUGACGGACCAGUCGUUAAUUUCAGUAUGUUUCAGCAUCUUGGAUGUAACUUACUACAGUAAGUAUGUAACAGCACAACUUUUAAAAGUAGACUAGUGUGUGCUACUAAAAUGAGCAUGAACUUGGCGUUCCAGAAGGUCACCAAAAAUAUGACACCUUCUGCCAAAUUAUUUACACAUAUGCAAUCCAGCCAAAGCCACAAACGACCUAGUGGACGGCGAUUCACUUUGGAGGAAAAAAUUUUGUCACUCUCGCUGUUUAAAAGAAGCCCAAAGUGCUAUUCUACACUGGAGCACGAGUUUAUAUUACCAUCAAAGAAAACGCUUCAAGGAAUUUUAGCAAAAAUGAAGUUAGAACCCGGUCUGAAUGAAAAGGUCUUUGAAAAACUGCAAAUAACAGUUCAAGAAAUGUGUAUUGAAGACCGUCUUUGCACAUUAAUUUUUGACGAAAUGUCUUUGACUCCACAAAUAAAUUACGAUAUGGCCAAUGACAGAUUGAAAGGGUUUGUAAACAUCGGUAAGGAAAACCUGAUUGCCAACCAUGUCUUAGUGUUUAUGGUUAAGGGAAUCAAAUCCAAUUUUAAGUAACCAGUGGCUUAUUACUUCACUAACAGCCUCACUAAAUUUGAUUUAAAAAAUGUAAUAGAAAACGUAAUAAAAAAAGUACAAGCCACUGGUUUAAUUAUUUUAUGCUCAGUAUGCUAUCAAAGUACUAUUAAUUUAGGAGCUAUUUCACUACUUAUACAAGAAACAAAAAAUAAGAUGUUAAAGAAAGGAAAAUAAUGGCGACACGACUUCUAUGAAAUAAAUUGUAAAAAGAUCGUACCUUUAUAUGAUGUUCCCCACUUGUUGAAAGGGCUUAGAAAUAAUUUAUUAACUAAAGACAUGAUUUAUUUUGAUAUGGACGAUGGGAAUAAAGAAAAAAUUGUUAAAUGGAAAUAUUUUCAAGAAAUUUACGAAGCCGACAAAACAUUUGGGGAACUUCGUUUAUUGAAUAAAAUAUCCGAGGAACAUAUAAAUAUUGACAAAAUUAAAAAAAUGCGUGUUAAGACAGCAGCUCAAAUAUUCAGCCAUAGUGUUGCGGUUGUGGCGGAACAUUUGACAGCUAGAGGUAUAAUAAACGAUGAGUGUCGCAAUUUGAUUAAUUUUGUUUUAACUAUAGAUAAACUAUUUGAUUAAUUAAAUAGUAACACAUUUCAUAUACCCAAUGGUAAAAUGUAUAACGCAUCCUGCGUAAGAAAAUCAUCACCCCAUCAUCGGCUCUGGAUAAAAGCUAAACAGCUUCUUAAAUCAGUUAAAUUCAUAGCAAAGAAAAAAACUGGUGAUAAAGUUUGAUUAGUAGAAACCACAGUACCAAGUACCAAUAACUUUGUCAAAACUAUUGAGGGCUUUGAAGUCGUAUGGAAUAUUUUAUUAAAAAAAUAUAGUUUUGACUGUAUGUUGACGCGGCACUUUAACCAAGACCCUAUAGAAAUUUUUUUCGGGAAUAUCCGUAAAUAAUUCCCCUAAUGUUGUAGCAUUUGAAGGUGCAUUUAAAGCCCUUCUUUUAAAUAAUUAUAACUCGCCCCAUGCUAUUAAUGCAAAUUGUGAGAAGGAUGAAAACAAAUGUCUGCAAACAUUUGAUUUCUUUUAAAAGAAAAUUCAGAAAGUAGUGUAAAAGAUAUUCCUGAAGAAAUUGAAAUUAAUGAAGAAAUGUUAACAGAAAAAGAAAUACAGCCUGAUAGGGGCCAGAGAAAUUAUGUCUGCGGUUGGGUCAUAACAAAAUGUUUGAAAAAUAUUGUAAAAGGCUGUGUCAUAUGCAAAUCAAAACUAUUAUGCAAAGAAGAAAAUAAAGAUAAAUGAAUUCAUAAAAAACAAAGAAUAUAAUAAAAUGAAGAAGUGGUUGACAUAUCCCUCCAACGAGGUAGUAAGUUAUUUCUAUGAAAUACAAGAAAAUACAAUCUCAAUAUUAAGUAAAAAUGUUCCUAAGAAAAAUUUAAAAUCAAAAAUAUUAUGGAUGACAAAAACCCUAAAUAUUUUUCCCUGUAAUUGCCCUAUACAUAAAGAUGUAUUAACAGAUUAUUUUAUAAAGACUUCCUUAAACAUAUUAAUUAAUAGUUGGUGUAGAGAAAUUAAUCGAAUUUUAUCAGGGAAAGUGUCGUAUGAAGGGGAUGAUGAAACAAAAGUUGCUGCAAAAUCAUAUUAUGAAAAACACAAGUACUGCUUAAAAAAUAAAUAGUCAUAAAAUUA